rfam:Pseudogymnoascus pannorum VKM F-4518 (FW-2643) contig_2875, whole genome shotgun sequence.
GAGGGAUUAGCUCAAUUGGUAGAGCAACCGUUUUACACACGGUAGGUUAAAUGUU